rnacentral:rRNA from 1 species
UAAGGAAUAUUGGUCAAUGGACGCAAGUCUGAACCAGCCAUGCCGCGUGAAGGAUGAAGGUCCUCUGGAUUGUAAACUUCUUUUAUCUGGGACGAAAACGGGAUUUUUAUCUCAAUUGACGGUACCAGAGGAAUAAGCACCGGCUAACUCCGUGCCGGCAGCCGCGGUAAUACGGAGGGUGCGAGCGUUAUCCGGAUUUACUGGGUUUAAAGGGUGCGUAGGUGGGUAUGUAAGUCAGUGGUGAAAUCCCCGAGCUUAACUUGGGAACUGCCAUUGAUACUAUAUAUCUUGAAUACCGUAGAGGUAAGCGGAAUAUGUCAUGUAGCGGUGAAAUGCUUAGAUAUGACAUGGAACACCAAUUGCGAAGGCAGCUUACUAUGCGGUGAUUGACACUGAGGCACGAAAGCGUGGGUAGCAAACA